rnacentral:tRNA from 1 species
GUUGUAGCUCAAUGGUAAAGUGCUUGCUUGGCAUGGGUGAGGCACUGAGUUCAAUUCUCAGCAUUACG